AUAAAAUUUGAAUACAUAAUUUCCCUUUAGAAUGCCUUGUAUGGAUGAGAGAAGCACUCACUCUAUAGAAAUGUUUGUUAGGAUGAAUAUUAAAACACUAACAUUUGCAUAUACAUUCCCAAUAAAAUUUUGUUCCUAAACUUGAACCUUGAUUUGAUAAUCUCAAUUAAUUACUUAAAUAAAAUUGGAAUGCUGAAGUCUGUCAGUUUUGUGGACCCUGAUAACCUCUUUGGAAACCAGUGGCCUCUGAUAAGGAAGGGACAGCAAACUGUAGA